CGCCUACUGUAGGUACUUCUUUUUGUGUGUAUCAAAUGUGUAUGUAGUUAUGUAGUAAAUAGCCUGAGCCCGAGUUUGUGUAAUAUACGUAACAAUAAAAAAAACUUCAUUCCAAAUUCUUCUUCUUCUUCUUUAAUACAGGGAUUAGAGUUUGCCUCUUCUGUUUUCAACGAGAAUUAUGACCAUAUUUUGCGAAGUCUUCCUAAACGUCCCUAGAUUGUAAGUGAGUAUUUUUUGGAUAGUCUUUCGUUUUUCAUCCUAUCGAUAUGUAUCCUCAAUCUUUGUGAUCACAAAAAGAUAGAGCGAAAUGUGAUGCACGCAAGAAACGUCUAACCUUGUAAUUCAGAAGAAGAAACAGAGAGGAAAAAUAUGGGGCGUUGGAAGUGAUGUCCCAAGUUCCACAAUGGCAUUGCAUGCGAUAUAGAAAAUUCGAAUUGGUAAGAAGAUGUAGAAGCUACAAAAACAGUAUCAGGAGGUCAUGACUGAAGAGGUUUCAAUAAAGGCGUAUUGAUCUCAAUUAUUUAUCUAUUUAUACUCUAAUUUAAGCGUAGAUAUAUUAAUAAGUUAAGAUUAUUUAAUAUUUAUGGAAAUUGUACGUACCUAUUUGGAAAUAUAUUUGUCUUAACAUGUACACUAAA